UUACGUUUCCAGAGUUCAUUUCGCACGCAAGUAUGGCCGAUGCCGAUAAGGUUUAAAGACGUGUUGUUUAGGAAAUAUAUAUCUCUCUCUGGUUCUUCGUCGUCCCACUGUUCUCUUCUCUUCUCUCACCACUCACGUGUCGGAACUAUAACGUUGUAGUACCGAACCUCCACGGUCUACUUGUACCAAGAAGACGAACAAUAUGACCUCUAGUAAGACGAGCAACGCUACGGCAGACCUCACGACCGAAAAGUUAGUAUAUCUUCCUGGCCGGGGCUGACAGGUCCUACACGACCACUAGGAACAUUAACAAAUGGUACUCUUCUCCUGAUUAUGUAUACGAGCAGGCGGUGGUAGAUACUAAGUGCUGCUGAAUAAAGAGGGACAUUAUUCUGCAUAUAAUAAGGAGGAACGUUAUUCUUAACACUACUAGAGUAUACAUACUGGUUCGAAGCACAUAUAUGCCCUUUUCACUUUGGCCGAGGUUAAUGGUGUGCGAGUUACUGGGGGGAA
rnacentral:rRNA from 1 species